AAAUGAGAAUAACUCAUCCCUAUGGUGGUAUAAAUUGAAGUGGUCUGAGUGCACUGUCCCUGUCCCCCAUAGUCUAUCAGACAGCCACUAGAGGCGCUUCCUGGACUCUAACAGAUUGUGACUCCGUUAAACGAUGCUGGACGCCAUCGCACUCUGCAUGAGGACAUCCAGCGUCCGUGAAGACCCCAUAGGAGAGCAUUAAGGUAAUGCUUUCCUAUAGGGAGGGCGUAUGAGCGCUAGGUCCCCGUCAGAUAACGUUGGAGAGGGAAGAGUGUGGACCCAUCACCUAUAGACAUUUGUGUUGAAAUCAGGAACGUAAAUAAAGGAUUUUUUUAACCCUUAAUUGCUACAGGGGGAGCCGCGAGGGAGAAGGGGAACAAAGGGC